rnacentral:misc_RNA from 1 species
CGAUUCUGAUCCCGGAAUUGUUGAGGUGAAUUUGGAUAGGCCGGGAGCGAAAAAUGCCAUCGGGAAGGAAAUGCUGAGAGGAUUACGGGCAACUUUUGAAACAAUCAGUAGGGAUGACUCUGCUAAUGUUGUUAUGAUAUGCAGCUCGGUUCCCAAAGUGUUCUGUGCAGGAGCUGAUCUGAAGGAGCGUAAGACAAUGACUCCAUCUGAAGUGCAAUUUUUUGUCAACACACUGCGAUCCACAUUCUCACUUAUAGAGGAACUUUGUAUUCCUACAAUUGCUGUUAUUGAAGGAACAGCCUUGGGUGGUGGACUUGAAAUGGCUUUAUCAUGUGAUCUUCGGAUAUGUGGUGGGACACAAAGACUUCCUAGAUUGGUAGGAAAAUCAGUGGCAAAGGAACUUAUAUUUACUGGUCGGAAGAUUGGUGGCAGGGAGGCCAUGUCAAUUGGCCUUGUGAAUUACUCUGUGCCUGCUGGUGAAGCUCGUUUAAAGGCACUUGAAGUUGCUCGGGAAAUUAAUCAGAAGGGUCCUAUAGCAAUAAGACUGGCAAAAAAGGCUAUUAAUGAGGGGCUAGGGAUAGAUUUGGCAUCUGCUUUGGAAUUGGAAGAAGAGUGUUAUGAACAGCUGUUGAACACAAAAGAUCGCUUGGAAGGUUUGGCAGCAUUUGCUGAAAAGCGGAAACCAAGGUAUACUGGAGAGUAAACAGGAC